AACGCUAGCUACAGGCUUAACACAUGCAAGUCGAGGGGCAGCAUGGUCUUAGCUUGCUAAGGCCGAUGGCGACCGGCGCACGGGUGAGUAACACGUAUCCAACCUGCCGUCUACUCUUGGACAGCCUUCUGAAAGGAAGAUUAAUACAAGAUGGCAUCAUGAGUCCGCAUGUUCACAUGAUUAAAGGUAUUCCGGUAGACGAUGGGGAUGCGUUCCAUUAGAUAGUAGGCGGGGUAACGGCCCACCUAGUCUUCGAUGGAUAGGGGUUCUGAGAGGAAGGUCCCCCACAUUGGAACUGAGACACGGUCCAAACUCCUACGGGAGGCAGCAGUGAGGAAUAUUGGUCAAUGGGCGAGAGCCUGAACCAGCCAAGUAGCGUGAAGGAUGACUGCCCUAUGGGUUGUAAACUUCUUUUAUAAAGGAAUAAAGUCGGGUAUGGAUACCCGUUUGCAUGUACUUUAUGAAUAAGGAUCGGCUAACUCCGUGCCAGCAGCCGCGGUAAUACGGAGGAUCCGAGCGUUAUCCGGAUUUAUUGGGUUUAAAGGGAGCGUAGAUGGAUGUUUAAGUCAGUUGUGAAAGUUUGCGGCUCAACCGUAAAAUUGCAGUUGAUACUGGGCGCCUUGAGUGCAGCAUAGGUAGGCGGAAUUCGUGGUGUAGCGGUAAAAUGCUUAGAUAUCACGAAGAACUCCGAUUG
rnacentral:rRNA from 1 species